AUUGAACGCUGGCGGCAGGCCUAACACAUGCAAGUCGAGCGGAUGAAGGGGGCUUGCUCCUGGAUUCAGCGGCGGACGGGUGAGUAAUGCCUAUGAAUCUGCCUGGUCGUGGGGGAUAACGUCCGGAAACGGGCGCUAAUACUGCAUACGUCCUGAGGGAGAAAGUGGGGGAUCUUCGGACCUCACGCUAUCAGAUGAGCCUAGGUCGGAUUAGCUAGCUGGUGGGGUAAGGGCCUACCAAGGCGACGAUCCGUAACUGGUCUGAGAGGAUGAUCAGUCACCCUGGAAGUGAGACACGGUCCCGACUCCUACGGGAGGCCGCAGUGGGGAAUAUUGGACAAUGGUGGAAAGCCUGAUCCAGCGAUGCCGCGUGUGUGAAGAAGGUCUUCGGAUUGUAAAGCACUUUAAGUUGGGAGGAAGGGCAGUAAGUUAAUACCUUGCUGUUUUGACGUUACCAGCAGAAUAAGCACCGGCUAACUUCGUG
rnacentral:rRNA from 1 species